AACGAACGCUGGCGGCGUGGAUAAGACAUGCAAGUCGAGCGAGAUUUUUUCCUGUAGCAAUACAGGGAAAAGUCUAGCGGCGAACGGGUGCUUAACACGUGGGCAACCUGCCGAGAAGUGGGGGAUAGCUCGCCGAAAGGCGAAUUAAUACCGCAUGUGAUCAGAGUGGAAAUCCAUUCGAAAUCAAAGUCGGGGCAACCUGACGCUUCUUGAGGGGCCCGCGGCCUAUCAGCUAGUUGGUGAGGUAAUGGCCCACCAAGGCUUUGACGGGUAGCUGGUCUGAGAGGACGACCAGCCACACUGGGACUGAGACACGGCCCAGACACCUACGGGUGGCAGCAGUCGAGAAUGUUUCUCAAUGGGGGAAACCCUGAAGGAGCGACGCCGCGUGGAGGAUGAAGGUCUUCGGAUUGUAAACUCCUGUCAUUGGGGAACAAUGCGUAAGUAUUAACUGUAUUUACGUUGAUAGUACCCGAAGAGGAAGAGACGGCUAACUCUGUGCCAGCCGCCGCCGUAAUAC
rnacentral:rRNA from 1 species